rnacentral:rRNA from 1 species
UGGGGAAUAUUGCGCAAUGGGCGAAAGCCUGACGCAGCGACGCCGCGUGGGGGAGGAAGGCCUCAGGGUUGUAAACCCCUGUCAGGUGGGACGAACCCCGGGUCGUCGAACAGGCGGCUCGACUGACGGUACCACCAGAGGAAGCUCCGGCUAACUCCGUGCCAGCAGCCGCGGUAAUACGGAGGGAGCGAGCGUUGUUCGGAAUCACUGGGCGUAAAGGGCGCGUAGGCGGCCGGGUAAGUCGGUUGUGAAAUGCCGGGGCUCAACCCCGCGCACUGCAUCCGAUACUGCUCGGCUGGAGAGAGGUAGGGGCGAGUGGAAUUCCCGGAGUAGCGGUGGAAUGCGUAGAUAUCGGGAAGAACACCUGUGGCGAAGGCGGCUCGCUGGACCUUUUCUGACGCUGAAGCGCGAAAGCGUGGGGAGCAAACAGGAUUAGAUACCCCCGUAGUCC